GCCCGGUUGGCUCAGUCGGUAGAGCGUGUGACUCUUAAUUACCUGAUUCAUUUGGGUAUGAGGGAAUCUCAAGGUCGCGAGUUCGAGCCUCGCAUCGGGCU